GUGCUCGCUUCGGCAGCGUGUAUACUAAAAUUGGAAUGAUACAGAGAAGGUUAGCGUGGCCCCUGAGCAAGGAAGACACGCAAAUUUGUGAACCCUGUGGAAGUUUU